rnacentral:rRNA from 1 species
GAUGAACGCUGGCGGCGUGCCUAAUACAUGCAAGUCGAGCGAACAGACGAGGAGCUUGCUCCUCUGACGUUAGCGGCGGACGGGUGAGUAACACGUGGAUAACCUACCUAUAAGACUGGGAUAACUUCGGGAAACCGGAGCUAAUACCGGAUAAUAUAUUGAACCGCAUGGUUCAAUAGUGAAAGACGGUUUUGCUGUCACUUAUAGAUGGAUCCGCGCCGCAUUAGCUAGUUGGUAAGGUAACGGCUUACCAAGGCAACGAUGCGUAGCCGACCUGAGAGGGUGAUCGGCCACACUGGAACUGAGACACGGUCCAGACGCCUACGGGAGGCAGCAGUAGGGAAUAUUCCGCAAUGGGCGAAAGCCUGAAGGAGCAACGCCGCGUGAGUGAUGAAGGUCUUCGGAUCGUAAAACUCUGUUAUUAGGGAAGAACAAAUGUGUAAGUAACUAUGCACGUCUUGACGGUACCUAAUCAGAAAGCCACGGCUAACUACGUG